CAAUCCAAAUCCCGAUCGCUAUCACCGACGAUGUUCGCCGGCGCCGGAGCCGGAGCCCUCUUCGAUGGCGGUGGCUUCAUGGCCUCACAGGCUCCCGAUCCUACCUCAUCUCCCUCCAAGAGUCGUGGUGGUGCCCAGCGCUUGAUUCCGUUGACAGUGAAACAGAUCUGUGAGGCCUUUGAUUCAAGUGAUGACAAGUAUAAUCUUGUUGUCGAAACGAGCAAUGUGAAGUUGUUGGGGUUGGUGAUGAACAAAGUAGAGAGGGUCACCGAUGUGUCUUUUACCCUCGACGAUGGCACUGGAUGCAUUGAGAUCAGCCGGUGGAUGAGUGAGAUAUGGGAUUCAAAUGAGAUGGCCCUAAUUCAGAAUGGAAUGUAUGUGAAAGUCAAUGGUCACUUGAAAGGGUUUCAAGGGAAACAAUGUGUUGUUGCCUUCUCUGUCCGACCUGUUAUUAACUUCAAUGAUAUUGCGCUCCACUUCCUUGAGUGCAUACAUGCCCAUAUGGACAUCACCAGAGAAAAGGGUGGAACGCCUGCUCAGAUCCAUGAGUAUCCAAUGAUGACAAUGAUGACAACUCCUUUUCCAAAUGUAUUGAACCCAUAUCAAGUUUCUCUUCAACAUCCAGGGCACUCAGUCAUGAGUGGCUCUUCAAAUGAUAUCUACAACUUGGUCUUGGGAGUUCUCCAGGAACCUUCAAGCUUGGCUUGUGAGCAUGGAUUACAUAUUGAUGAAAUUGUUAAAAGGGUGGGACUACCAACAACUAAGAUCAUGGAAAUCAUUAAUUACCAUGUUGAUUCCGGUCACAUUUAUUCAACCAUAGAUGAAAAUCAUUUCAAGUCUGCAUUCAAUGGCUGAUCAUUUACAUGAGAUUAACAACCCUGAGCCAAUGUUUUUUGAGAAACAUUUUCCGUCAGGAAUAUCCACUUGCAGGGCUUGUCAAAGAUAUACUCUCUGGUUAAUAGUGCAUCAAAUUCAUGAAGGUAAUCAAAGCAACAGAAAUCUUUGGCUUCGCCGAUCGUCCGGCACUGUCCAUCAGCUCCGCGUAUAUAUUGCAUGUACCAAUUAAUCAUUAGACUGAUGCAUCAUGCAUGAGGCCAACUUCAAAUUGACAGAAUGGAAAAUUUAUGGUUUUAACUUUUAAGUCCAAUGCCUUUACAAUGAAUAAAAGAAAAUUUCAGAAUUUAUAAUGAAAAUAAGUGAAAAACUCACUUGUUUGAUAAACCCUCACUCAAAAAGAACCAUUCUAUUCAUUUCCUGAAACUAGGAUUUU